GGUUAGGGUUGGGCUUGGAGCUAGGAUUUUUCUGAGUGCACUGAACCAACUCCCGAGUCUCUAGGACAUUCCUAAAAAAAUUUGAUUUUUUCCCAUAGGAAUGCAUGGGUUAGGGUUAGGGUUAGGGUUGGAGCUAGGGUUAGGGUUAGGGUUAGGGUUGGAGUUAGGGUUAGUGUUGGAGCUAGGGUUAGGGUUGGGCUUGGAGCUAGGAUUUUUCUGAGUGCAAUGAACCAACUCCCGAGUCUCUAGGACGUUCCUAAAAAAAUUUGAUUUUUUCCCAUAGGAAUGCAUGGUUUAGGGUUAGGGUUAGGGUUGGAGCUAGGGUUAGGGUUAGGGUUAGGGUUGGAGUUAGGGUUAGUGUUGCAGCUAGGGUUAGGGUUGGGCUUGGAGCUAGGAUUUUUCUGAGUGCACUGAACCAACUCCCGAGUCUCUAGGACAUUCCUAAAAAAUUUGAUUUUUUCCCAUAGGAAUGCAUGGUUUAGGGUUAUGGUUAGGGUUAGGGUUGGAGCUAGGGUUAGGGUUAGGGUUAGGGUUGGAGUUAGGGUUAGUGUUGGAGCUAGGGUUAGGGUUGGGCUUGGAGCUAGGACUUUUCUGAGUGCAAUGAACCAACUCCCGAGUCUCUAGGAUGUUCCCUAAAAAAAUUUGAUUUUUUCCCAUAGGAAUGCAUGGGUUAGGGUUAGGGUUAGGGUUGGAGCUAGGGUUAGGGUUAGGGUUAGGGUUGGAGUUAGGGUUAGUGUUGGAGCUAGGGUUAGGGUUGGGCUUGGAGCUAGGAUUUUUCUGAGUGCACUGAACCAACUCCCGAGUCUCUAGGACAUUCCUAAAAAAAUUUGAUUUUUUCCCAUAGGAAUGCAUGGGUUAGGGUUAGGGUUAGGGUUGGAGCUAGGGUUAGGGUUAGGGUUGGAGUUAGGGUUAGUGUUGGAGCUAGGGUUAGGGUUGGGCUUGGAGCUAGGAUUUUUCUGAGUGCACUGAACCAACUCCCGAGUCUCUAGGACAUUCCUAAAAAAAAUUGAUUUUUUUCCCAUAGGAAUGCAUGGGUUAGGGUUAUGGUUAGGGUUAGGGUUGGAGCUAGGGUUAGGGUUAGGGUUAGGGUUGGAGUUAGGGUUAGUGUUGGAGCUAGGGUUAGGGUUGGGCUUGGAGCUAGGAUUUUUCUGAGUGCAAUGAACCAACUCCCGAGUCUCUUGGACGUUCCUAAAAAAAUUUGAUCUUUUCCCAUAGGAAUGCAUGGGUUAGGGUUAGGGUUAGGGUUGGAGCUAGGGUUAGGGUUAGGGUUAGGGUUGGAGUUAGG